rnacentral:rRNA from 1 species
AUUGAACGCUGGCGGCAGGCCUAACACAUGCAAGUCGAACGAGUGGCGGACGGGUGAGUAAUGUCUGGGGAACUGCCCGAUGGAGGGGGAUAACUACUGGAAACGGUAGCUAAUACCGCAUACCAUCGGAUGUACCCAUAUGGGAUUAGCUAGUAGGUGGGGUAACGGCUUACCUAGGCGACGAUCCCUAGCUGGUCUGAGAGGAUGAUCAGCCACACUGGAACUGAGACACGGCCCAGACUCCUACGGGAGGCAGCAGUGGGGAAUAUUGCACAAUGGGCGCAAGCCUGAUGCAGCCAUGCCGCGUGUAUGAAGAAGGCCUUCGGGUUGUAAAGUACUUUCAGUGGGGAGGCGUUACUCGCAGAAGAAGCACCGGCUAACUCCGUGCCAGCAGCCGCGGUAAUAC